AUGCAAGCUCGAACGGAACUUAGUCCUUCGGGCUGAAUUUAGUGGCGGACGGGCUGAGUAACACGUGAGCAACCUGGCCUCUCAGAGGGGAAUAACGUUUGGAAACGAACGCUAAUACCGCAUAAAGUGCAGAGAUGGCACUCAUCAUUGCACCAAAGGAGAAAUCCGCUGAAGGAUGGGCUCGCGGCCGAUUAGAUAGUCUGGUGAGGUAAUGGCUCACCAAGUCAGCGAUCGGUAGCCGGACUGAGAGGUUGAACGGCCACAUUGGGACUGAGACACGGCCCAGACUCCUACGGGAGGCAGCAGUGGGGGAUAUUGCACAAUGGAGGAAACUCUGAUGCAGCGACGCCGCGUGAGGGAAGACGGUUUUCGGAUUGUAAACCUCUGUCUUCGGGGAAGAAAAAAGACGGUACCCGAGGAGGAAGCCACGGCUAACUACGUGCCAGCAGCCGCGGUAAUACGUAGGUGGCAAGCGUUGUCCGGAAUUACUGGGUGUAAAGGGAGCGUAGGCGGGAAUGCAAGUUGAAUGUUAAAACUAUCGGCUCAACCGAUAAGUGCGUUCAAAACUGUGUUUCUUGAGUAAAGUAGAGGCAGGCGGAAUUCCUA
rnacentral:rRNA from 1 species